AGGAAGAGGAGAGGAGACGUCGAACAGGAGAGGAAGAGGAUGAGGGGAGGGCAGGAGUCCAAGGAUGGAGAUUCCCAUGAUCUGUCCCGUCAUACUCAUCCUCAUGUCGUAAUGGGUUUCCACAUGUGACGGUUCGCCCCAGUCAGGCUCCAAACAUGCCGUGAAUAAAGGAAGCCUUUUGAAAAGUGAUCAAUCAAAGAGAUGCGUGUUUCACAUCUCCGAAUGCCCCAGCCUGUUUGGUGAGUGAUGAAGCUGUGGUGAUGUGGAUGAUGGAUGGGCUCUGGGAGUGUGGCCUGUGGUUGCAGCUAAAACGAUGGUGUCAGCAGAGUUUGUGGGGUGGUUGUCAUGUGGUUGUGAGUUGGCUGUUUGUUGUUUCCACUGCGGUUGUUGUCGUUGGUCUACGGCCUGUGGCUCGUCCUGUGUGACAGUAACGCAGGGUAAGUCCCCCCCCCCCCCCACUGUAAUUCCUCAUGACCUCAGCGUGGGCUCUCUCAGGGGCCUCUAAGGGGCCUCCAGGCUGUGGCCCCCAUGUGCCGGUGUGUGUGAGCGUGCCCUACAGUGUGUACGUGUCAACUCAUGCGGUGAACGUGUCGAACCGCAGGGGAUCCCUGUGGGGGAUGGCCGCGGGCCAGGUGUGUGACCAUGGACGGGUCACACAGGUGACACACUGCUGUGUUUGUGUGUGUGGUUGUGUGUGUGUGUGUGUGGUUUUUCUUCGCACUCAUUGGGAAGGCUUAUGAAGGGUCACCGUGCUCUCCUCUCACUGAACUAUAUAGGGUAAUAGGAUAAAUAUAGUAAUAUAGGUAAUAUAGGAUAAAACCUCACUUUGACAAAAACAACACCAAAGUACCCAACCUCAAUUCUCAGUCCUGUCAUAGUCUGCUGUAAUGAUGUAACUGAGAUCUUAUCCACGUUAAUGAUGCUGCUCCAUUGUUUAGAGAGAGAAAAGGAGGGGUAAGUGAAGACACACUUGUGUGCUCUGGCGAUUGCUUAUUUGAUAUUGGUGCAUUUGUCUGCGAGUCUUGGUUCACAAAUCCUUUUAGUCUUUAUCAGUGAAACUUAAAACCGAGCCUCAAUCUGGUGUGUUGGACUACCUGAUCGUCUGGGUCUUAACCUCUGUCUUUAAACAAACCCCAAAAAUCACUGUGGGUUCCUGACACUGUUCAAACAAGAUCUCUCUGCGCCACAUGCAAACCUGGCAACCAGGUAUCUGCUCACUAGCACCUGCUGGUGGAUGGCAGCAGUACUACAUGCAUGGAGUGCUGACUGAGCCAUUGAUUGGAACUUUCCAGAAACAAUUUAUGGAGAAGUCUUUAGUAUUUUCUGUCAUUCAGAUGGUUUUUAUAAAGAGGACAGUUUAGUCUGGUGAUGCGAGGAGAUUUUGCCUUUCAGUCCUUCAAAUAAGACUUUAAGUUUCUUGAAACAGUGUUGGGGUAUUAGUCGUGCUUAAAAUAUGUACAUGUCUCACUCUCAAUUAGUUUAAAAAUAGAAAUUCAACCAAGUCAAUAUGAAGGACAUACUUCACCUGCAACACAAGAGAAGAUUUUCUUAAUGGUUAUUCUGUAUGCUAUGAAACACUAUUGUUGAUUUGAGACCCUGAGUGGAAUGUGUGAUGUCUCCAAAGGUAUUGUGUCUCCUACCACAGUGUUUACUUAUAAUGGAGAGAUUACCUGUAAAAGAUAGCACUCCCUCUUUUCCCCUCAGUUGUAAUCUAACCUGCCUGGUUCUACUGCAGAUCAGGUUUUAGCACAGCAAGAGGCUAAACACCACUGUUUAGAAGGAGUGUUUCUCUAAACAUGUGUGUGUGUGUGGUGUGGUCUGAUUUGUAUGUGCAAUGUGAGUGUGUAUGUGUGUGUUUUUGGUUUCUAAAAUGCAUAGCUAUCCCGACGUUUUUUUCACCAAACCAGCCUCAGAGACACUGAAAUAGCAGGAAACAAGAAAAGGUGUUUAGAACUAAUUUUCCUCCACUCUGUAAAGGAGAUUGUGGGCUUCACAAUAGAACAAAAUCGGAGGACGACAAUUUGACAUUCUUUUGUGAGUUUCACAAUCCGGCACUGAAAGAAAAGUUGUAGGGCGCACUUCGUACGUAUACAUAGCAGCCUCACCCACGAUGGUAUUUGAAAGACAAACAGCAGUGCGUGCUCUUUGCCAUAGUUACACAGACAGAGAGAAAGUGGUCAGUCUCUUUAGUGUAACAGCCGCCAUUGAAGAGGAGAGAGUAGUUCUACAUAUUGUCCGUGUCAUUACAAAGUAAAGACACCAUUGUAAGUCGCAUGGCUUCUUUAGUCUCUUCUCAGUUCAGGAGCUAUCUCUGGGACACCCUCCCUCAUCCCUUUCUCCUCUCUCUCUCUUUCCCCCCCUCUCCCUCUCUCUCACAGACACACACACACACACUUGUAAACCAAACAGCUGCCCACCAGGCUCUCUGUCACCUCUGCUGGGAAGCCAGAGCACAAUGUUGAAGCCAACCUCUUCUCUCUUCAGCCACUUCCCUCCGCUCCACCAGCCAACUUUCUCUUCCUCCUUUAUCUCAACCGUGUAUCAGCUCAAAUAUGGACCUCAACCUGAAACAUGCGGUGCGGCCCAGAAUAUUUGGUUUCGGAUGCGUUUCCAUUUGAUUGUCCUACAAGAGGACAAGAAGAAGUAAGCGAUAUGACUUGGGGGGGGAUCAUAUUAAUGUAACACACACACACAAUAAUCCCACAGGACUUCCUUCCCUUUCCCAUCAGAAACCACACCCAGGGCGAGAGGUAACCGGAGAGCACCUUUCACAGGGUCAGACAGGAGGAGGUGGGAAACACAGCAAGGUGCUGCUGCCCACAGGUGGCUGGAGCAGCGUGGAAGGAGCAGAUCGUCAUCAACACUGAACCCAUUGAGAUUCCGGUCUUGCUUCUGGCUUCAGCCGAGGCCGGUUGCCAUGCCGACAGGCAAAUUGGCUGGCGGGAUGAGUAAUGAUGUGAUGUGGCUCUGCUCUAAAGUCCCAACAAAAAGACCUUAUUACUGCUGCAGCUUUUCAUAACAUACCAUUGUUGUCAAGUGCUCCUGAUAUUAACCUGCCUUCUCUGGGGCUUCCUCCUUCUCAAGGAGACACGUGUGUGAGGGGGGUUGUUUGUGUGUGUUUGUGUGUGUGUGCUUAUGUGUGUUGGUUUAUAUAUGUUCAUAAUAUGGACUGACAUUCAACUGGAUCUACUGAACCUACUGUCAUCAGUUUAAACCUUGGAAAUGUUCACAAACCACUAUGUCUGAAGAACAUUUAGAAAAUGUUGUACUAAGACCAUGUCCAAGUCUGAGAGAAAGACAGUAUAAAUGAAUGUUUUAACCCUAUUGUUUAAAUGAAAUAGUUAUAGCCUUGUUGUCCCACUCAAACAUGAUAUUAGGACAGUGCUUCUCUGUUUGACAAGGAUCCUCCGUCGGGAUCUUACCAGGGGCCUGUUGACAUGCUGCCUGCCCUGCCCUGCCCUGCCCUGCCCUGCCCU